AAAUCUCACAAAUGUCUGCACAGUUUACAUUCAGUUUAUCACAAUGAACAAACAUGACAAACAUGGUUUGACUCUAAGAGGAUCAUGGAGAAUGAACAGAUGGAGGAACAAUUUGGAUCCACAGUUAACACUUUUAUCUUCGACAUUUUGACGGACUGAAUUCAGUUAUUUAAAAAAAUCAGACUUUCCUAGUGUGCUUUAAUCUGAUGUCUUUAUUCUACCUGUCGUCAUAUUUAAUAUAAUUGUUUCAUGCCUCCAUUCUGUUAACAGAUCACUGUGAAGGCAUUAUGUUAGUCCAUACAGUCAGACGCCCUGUUUUCUUGAAUUUGAUUUCCCUGAAUCCCUGGAAUAUCCUUAAAAAUGACCCUAUCAGCCUCAUAGACUUCAAGAUUGUUGGUCAAUGCAAUUCAUGAAUAAUGUCUAAGUACCGCCUUGAAAAAACUUCUUGUCCGUGGACUAUUUCCCAUGGCGGCUCUACCCUAUGCAUACAUGUUCUGUCUUCUGUAGGGAGGUAUUUUAUCCCCCCUGUGAAAGACUACUACUUCUGCAGUUGUUUUGAUAUAAUAUGGGUUUUUUUUAUGUUAAAUUUAGAAAUAUAUCUAAAGUCUCGACCACAGUUUCACUGUCAUUCUGUGGGAAAACUGUUUGUGAAUGGAACAUUUUCCUUCCAGGUGUAAUCACUCAACUGUAGGAGUAAGUGUUUCCCUAAACCCUUAUUUUGCCUCCUGUCAACCUUCUUCAAGGUUUGAACACAUUAACUGUAUACAGAUGAACAACAGUCCUCCCGUUGUUCAAAAGUGAAUCCAAAAUUUAGCCCCAAUAAAUACUUGAAAAAUACUCGUACAUAAAUCAACAUAAGAACCAACUAUAAUGACAGAAACCAUGUUUGAGGAAAAUGAAUUUGACCUGUAUUUUGAUGUAUUAGCUUGAUCAGUUUCCCAUCUGUUAACAUGGAAGAGGAGGUGGAGCUUGUGACCUAUACUGCAGCCAGUCAGUAGGGGGAGCUCCAAAUGUUUUGGCUUCACUUUUGGGAUGCUGUCAUGUCAUCCUUCUUUUUAUACAGUCUGUCGUCGAACAUUUCAAGACUCUACACUGUCAUUUGUGUGGGUUUCCUUUUAUAAAAAUCUAAAAUUAUUUACUGGCACCUGCGCAUGCUUUCUGGCUCAAGAUUUUU